rnacentral:siRNA from 1 species
AAUAGGGCUACUUACAACUGCAAU